rnacentral:rRNA from 1 species
UACGUAGGGCGCAAGCGUUGUCCGGAAUUAUUGGGCGUAAAGAGCUCGUAGGCGGUUUGUCGCGGCUGUCGUGAAAGCUUGGGGCUUAACCCCAAGUCUGCGGUGGAUACGGGCAGACUAGAGGCAGGUAGGGGAGAACGGAAUUCCCGGUGUAGCGGUGAAAUGCGCAGAUAUCGGGAGGAACACCGGUGGCGAAGGCGGUUCUCUGGGCCUGUACUGACGCUGAGGAGCGAAAGCGUGGGGAGCAAACAGG